rnacentral:rRNA from 1 species
GACGAACGCUGGCGGCGUGCCUAAUACAUGCAAGUAGAACGCUGAAGGAGGAGCUUGCUCUUCUGGAUGAGUUGCGAACGGGUGAGUAACGCGUAGGUAACCUGCCUGGUAGCGGGGGAUAACUAUUGGAAACGAUAGCUAAUACCGCAUAACAGUAGAUGUUGCAUGACAUUUACUUAAAAGGUGCAAUUGCAUCACUACCAGAUGGACCUGCGUUGUAUUAGCUAGUUGGUGGGGUAAAGGCUCACCAAGGCGACGAUACAUAGCCGACCUGAGAGGGUGAUCGGCCACACUGGGACUGAGAAACGGCCCAGACUCCUACGGGAGGCAGCAGUAGGGAAUCUUCGGCAAUGGACGGAAGUCUGACCGAGCAACGCCGCGUGAGUGAAGAAGGGUUUCGGAUCGUAAAGCUCUGUUGUAAGAGAAGAACGAGUGUGAGAGUGGAAAGUUCACACUGUGACGGUAUCUUACCAGAAAGGGACGGCUAACUACGUG